rnacentral:rRNA from 1 species
AAGAAAGCUUGCUUUCUUUGCCGGCGACCGGCGCACGGGUGAGUAACACGUAUCCAACCUACCCUUUACUCGGGGAUAGCCUUUCGAAAGAAAGAUUAAUACCCGAUAGCAUAAUGAUUCCGCAUGGUUUCAUUAUUAAAGGAUUCCGGUAAAGGAUGGGGAUGCGUUCCAUUAGGUUGUUGGUGGGGUAACGGCCCACCAAGCCUUCGAUGGAUAGGGGUUCUGAGAGGAAGGUCCCCCACAUUGGAACUGAGACACGGUCCAAACUCCUACGGGAGGCAGCAUG